rnacentral:rRNA from 1 species
UACGUAGGGUGCGAGCGUUAAUCGGAAUCACUGGGCGUAAAGCGCGCGUAGGCGGCUUUUCAAGUCAGGGGUGAAAUCCCACGGCCCAACCGUGGAACUGCCUUUGAAACUGUAGAGCUUGAGUGUCGGAGAGGGUGGCGGAAUUCCAGGUGUAGGAGUGAAAUCCGUAGAUAUCUGGAGGAACACCGGUGGCGAAGGCGGCCACCUGGACGACAACUGACGCUGAGGUGCGAAAGCGUGGGUGGCAAACAGG